GGCGGACGGCUGAGUAACACGUUGGAACCUACCCUGUACUCAGGGAUAACUUCGCGAAAGUGGAGCUAAUACCGGAUGGUCCCGAAAGGGUAAAGCUUUUGCGGUACAGGAGGGGCCUGCGGCCUAUCAGCUAGUUGGUGAGGUAAAGGCUUACCAAGGCGAUGACGGGUAGCUGGUGUGAGAGCAUGACCAGCCAGAAUGGGACUGAGACAAGGCCCAUACUCC
rnacentral:rRNA from 1 species